ensembl:snoRNA SNORA5A small nucleolar RNA, H/ACA box 5A
UGCAGCCGUGUCAAAUUCGGCACCUGCCUGCCGUGGCGGACGCUGGCCCAGAAGGCUGCCACAGAAACAUGCGGCUCAUGGGCCCUGCCCCGCACUCGGGCUCAGGGAUAAGUUUGGUCGCAGACACGG